AACCUAUAGAACAAAGAAGAAGAUGGAAAAAAGAAAGUGGCAACUGAUGCAGUGAAAGAUUAAUGUUGAUUUGGUUUUUUUUACUCUGAUGUACCUGAUAAUACAUGUGGCAUUUUGUAAAUGUUUAUGUAUACCAUAUCGGCAAAUACACCAUGUGUCCUGAAAAAUUCCUCGGCUGAACCGUUGAGACAGCUUACAUCGGAGGAAAAGUUGUUGUAAUUAAAAAAAAAUAAAAAAAAUAAAAAAUAAAAUUCAAGAGUCUCAAGACUGUGAAAACGGGAAGCAUGUGCGGAGUCCACAGUCCAUAACACACAGCGCAAGGUGGCAGUCGCUUCCCCACCUACUCGCUCAGUCUUCCUCUCUACUCGUUCACUCAAAGCUUCCCUCACAAAUUCUCCGUAGCCGUCCCCUAAAUCAAUGUGGCAAGCUCUCUUGGCCGCCGCAGUUGCUGGAUCCACUGGUCUCGUCGCCAAGCACUUGUUCAAGCCAUGUUCCGCCGAUCCCACUACCACUUCCCUGCCUGAACAAACCCAAAAGGUUCACGAAGACAUUAAAACUCAGGAAAAGGGCGUUUCUAAUGGGGGUUUCCAGAUUCUAAGCUCUUCCACAUUUGACUCUCAACUGUUGUUGGAAGAUGAUAGUGUUUGUGAGAAACAAGAGGAAAUCUUUCAGUUUUCCUGUUCUGGCUCUCGUGGUGGAACUGGGGUAAGAAUUUGUUCCAGGAAUUUGAGCAAGAGACCCGGGGUUCCGAGUCGUGGGUUGAAAAAAGGAGGUGGGAGUGAAGGAUCUAAUCGAGGAGUGGAGCCCGGGAGGCGUAGGAAAAGGGUCGGUGUUUGCUUGAAGAAGAGGAGGACUAUCAAGAAUGCCGCUGGAAAUCGUGGAUCGCGCUUCUCUGAUGAUGCCUUCUUGUUUAAUUGGGCUCUUGGUCUUGGGAUCAUGUGUAUGCUGUUAGCUAGAAAAGCUGAAAUCAGUAAACUUAAUAUUGCAAUGGGUGAGACUGCAACAGUUCUUCAGGAGUUAAAAGCCGAACUUCAUAAAAGGAAAUCAUCCUGCAGUUUGCAUGUUUCCAGUUCUGCCGGUGAAGUCAUCGCAAACAGUCAGCCUACUAGCUGGAAGCAUAUUCAGACACGACUUCAUAAGUCAUGUGCAGAUAAUCAAGGCCCUAAUGACGUAAAGAUUUGCAGUUUCCCUACAGUUGAUGAUGGCGAAUGUUUAAGUAGUGUUAUUACUGAAGAGCCUGAGACAGAGGUACAAGAAAUGGAUCAGCUGGAAGAAGAGCUUGAGUCCGAGCUGCAAAAACUUCCAUGGUGCACUGUAGAAGGUCCUCACCACGAGGGAUUGAAGGAUCUGAUUGAGAAAUUUCAGCUAAAGGUAGACAGACAAGGUUCUGAUGCCCAUAGAUUCCACGGAAUAUUGCCAGCAGAACUAGAUCAGAAACUGUGUCAUUUACUCAUUCAACAACAGGAAAACCAAAUAGUGGCGCUGGAAUCUGACUUGCAUUGAGCACAAUCCAAACUGAAUGAGAAAUAAGCCAAACUCCAAGCACUGAAGGACUGUGUUAAACGCCUAACUGAAUUUUCUCUCUCAGCUGUCUCAGAUGAUGAAACCGACCACAUUGAACAAGCGGAAGCCAAUGGUUGGAAUUAUGACAACAUUGGAUCUGAGUCUAAAAGAUCAGUGGUUGGCACGAAAAGACCCAUUGAAUCUGAACCAUUUACUUAUCAUUUGAGAUAACAAAGUUUCAUACUUGGGCAUGAAGGUAAUUCUACUAAUUAAUUAUGGACACAUUCUAUCAGUAUCUUCUUGUGUGGGCCACGCGGCCUCGACCUCUCAAACUUUGUAGGCAAACUGUAUCGACAACUCCUUUACAUGGCCCCAUUCACCCAAAAGAUAAAUAAAUAAAUAAAUAAAUAAAAAAUAAAAAAAUCUCCUUUACGUGGCUCC